AAUCUUCCACAAUUGACGAAAGUCUGAUGGAGCAUCGCCGCGUGAGUGAAGAAGGUUUCCGGCUCGUAAAGCUCUGUUGUAAGGGAAGAACAGGUACAGUAUUAACUGCCUGUACCUUGACGGUACCUUACCAGACAGCCACGUCUAACUACGUGCCAGCAGCCGCGGUAAUACGUAGGUGGCAAGCGUUGUCCGGAAUUAUUGGGCGUAAAGCGCGCGCAGGCGGUCCUUUAAGACUGAAGUGAAAGCCCACGGCUCAACCGUGGAGGGUCAUUGGAAACUGGAGGACUUGAGUACAGAAGAGGAAAGCGGAAUUCCACGUGUAGCGGUGAAAUGCGUAGAGAUGUGGAGGAACACCAGUGGCGAAGGCGGCUUUCUGGUCGGUAACUGACGCUGAGGCGCGAAAGCGUGGGGAGCAAACA
rnacentral:rRNA from 1 species